rnacentral:rRNA from 1 species
UAACGCGUGAGGAACCUGCCUCAAAGAGGGGGACAACAGUUGGAAACGACUGCUAAUACCGCAUAAGCCCACGGCUCGGCAUCGAGCAGAGGGAAAAGGAGCAAUCCGCUUUGAGAUGGCCUCGCGUCCGAUUAGCUAGUUGGUGAGGUAACGGCCCACCAAGGCGACGAUCGGUAGCCGGACUGAGAGGUUGAACGGCCACAUUGGGACUGAGACACGGCCCAGACUCCUACGGGAGGCAGCAGUGGGGAAUAUUGCACAAUGGGGGAAACCCUGAUGCAGCGACGCCGCGUGGAGGAAGAAGGUCUUCGGAUUGUAAACUCCUGUUGUUGAGGAAGAUAAUGACGGUACUCAACAAGGAAGUGACGGCUAACUACGUGCCAGCAGCCGCGGUAAAACGUAGGUCACAAGCGUUGUCCGGAAUUACUGGGUGUAAAGGGAGCGCAGGCGGNAGAACAAGUUGGAAGUGAAAUCCAUGGGCUCAACCCAUGAACUGCUUUCAAAACUGUUUUUCUUGAGUAGUGCNGAGGUAGGCGGAAUUCCCGGUGUAGCGGUGGAAUGCGUANAUAUCGGGAGGAACACCAGUGGCGAAGGCGGCCUACUGUGCACCAACUGACGCUGAGGCUCGAAAGUGUGGGUAGCAAACAGGAUUAGAUACCCUGGUAGUCCACACCGUAAACGAUGAUUACUAGGUGU